GCCCGAGUGGCGGAACUGGCAGACGCGACGGACUCAAACUCCGUUGUCCGUUAGGACUUGUGGGUUCGAGUCCCACCUCGGGUACAA
rnacentral:tRNA from 1 species